AUGAACUUUGGUCUUCUCUGCAAUCCAUCUGGAGCAUUCAGUGACAACAUCGACUUUGAAGUUGCACUGACCUGGCCAGCCCUGCCACUUACCAGGUUGGGCUGUGGCUUGCCUUUUCACUUCUUGUGUCCUGUUUAAGAAAUAUCUACUAUCCCAAGCAUCUGGCAUCUUUCUUGACACAUGUAGCAGUUGCUUUUUGACAGCUUGCUUCUUCAGUGAAUGAAUAAAUUAAUAAAGAGAAAUGUGAUGUUCAGUGAUCCAUUUUGCAGGCUCUUGAGUUUCUGCUUUCAAGUGACCCUCAGAAAUUCCCCCAUUCACUGCAGAGGUUCUGUUUCUCCUUGCUUUGUUCUGACUUUACGGCAGAACUAAGCUGAUGAGUUAGUUACUAUGGGUUAUCACUUGGAUUUGAAGAACCAUCAUUUCUAGGCAUUGCUGCUCAGAGUGGGUCUGCCCUCAGGGGAAGCUGUCUAACCAGAGCCUAACCCACUAGGGUUUUAUCAGAACCUAACUGACCUGAGGAAAAGAAAUAUUCAACUCCAGCAAGCUCCAGCCUUCCAAAUGGAGGAGAAGAAAACCCAACUCCAGCCCACUUCAGCUAUCUUGUCCCACAUAAAGGGGAAGUGGAAGAAACCUGAGAAGCAGGCAUGAAGUUCACAGUCCAGAGGUACAGACACAUCAGAGUUCAGUAUCUGAUGAAUUAGAUGCAAAAACCUCAACAAAGUAUUAGCAAAUUGAAUUCAACAAUGUAUGAAAAUUAUUACAUGCCAUGACUAAUUGGAAUUUAUCUCAGGUAUACAAGCCAUGCUGAACAUCUGAAAAUCAAUUCAUGUGAUCCAUCACAUUAGCAGACUCAAGAAAAAAAACCACAUUAUCAUAUCAGUAGAUGUAGAAAAAAAAAUUUAACAAAAUCCAGCACCCAUUCACAAUGAAAAUGCCCAGUAAAUUAGAAAUAGAAGGUAACUUCCUCAAAUUGAUAAGGAAUAUCUCUAAAAACCUACAACUAAAAUCAUACUUAAUGGUAGAAAACUAGAAGCCUUCCCAGUAAGAGUAAGAACAAGGCAAAGAUGUAUGCUCUCACCAAUGCUUUUCAACAUCAUAUAUUGGAAGUCCUAGCUAGUGCAAUAAGCAAAAAAAAAAAAAAAAAAAAAAAA
rnacentral:lncRNA from 1 species